rnacentral:lncRNA from 1 species
GCUGAGCCCAUGCCUCGACCCCAGGGCCAGUCCCCGCCAGGUGCCAUCCUGAGCAGGGCCACAGAACAGAUGUCCCACAUGGCCAGGACCCCUGUGGCCACCUGACCCCGGGGGGGCUGUGGCCCUCGGUGAAGCAGGUGACCGGGCGGGCUGUGGGGUUUGUCAGCUCCGCAGCGUCACUGCCGCUCAGCGUAUGAGUUUCCACUCCCAGCACUCAAUGAACAGCUGAGCAACUGCAGGUGCCUCCGAGUGCUGGGAGAGGGG